rnacentral:sRNA from 1 species
CAGCGUGCUCCGGGCGUCGG